ensembl:lncRNA
UUCAGUUUUACGCUUCGCUGCGUAAACAGCGACUUUAUCCAAGAUGCUUUGAGGAAAAGAGUCAUAUCAACGCAAAACACCGCUGCUGGGAUGUUUUUUUGUUUUUUUUUACCUUUUUGAAGCUACAUUCUGUGAUUACUCAGCGGUAAAACCUGAAGGUUUCCAAACGUUUGACCUACUGGACACCGAACCUUCUGUUUCCUCUGAGGCGUUUGGAUAAAACUUAUAAAGUGGGAAUAACAGCACUUCUUAACCCAGCAACCAGCCCAGGUGGCAUCUCAAAGCAACAAUAUGCUGGAAAUAUGAAAUGUGCGGUGACCACUAAAGCCUCCAACCUUUCCGAGACUGAGCUGCAGAAACUCCAGAAGCAGCAGGGAUCUCCGUCAUGAACUUCCGUGGAUUUAAGACAGAAUAUCCCCGUGGAUGGAAACACUUGUGAUGCUGCUGCAGGACAUCAGCGCCAUGGGAGGAAUGCAUCUGCAGAUUAGAGAGAAUCUACAAACAGGGUUUCCUGUUUAUUGGAGUCUCUCUGGUCCUUAAGGGAAGUUGUGCACACAUGCUAUUAUAACUUGAAACACCAAGCGGCCAUCCACGGCUGCCUGAUUGUUAAACUAUGAGCCGGUAUAUCAGCUGGGAGCUCUGGGAGAGUUAACCCUCUCUGGUUGCUUCUUGUUUGAGCUGUUGUAGAUGAGGUUUGGGAGGAAAUGGACGAGACACCAGUGGAGCUG